UACGGGGGGAGCAAGCGUUGUUCGGAUUUACUGGGCGUAAAGGGCGCGUAGGCGGCCAGCACAAGUCGGUUGUGAAAUCUCCGGGCUUAACUCGGAACUGCCAAGUGAAACUGCUGGGCUAGAGUGCAGAAGGGGCAAUCGGAAUUCUUGGUGUAGCGGUGAAAUGCGUAGAUAUCAAGAGGAACACCUGAGGUGAAGACGGGUUGCUGGGCUGACACUGACGCUGAGGCGCGAAAGCCAGGGGAGCAAACGGG
rnacentral:rRNA from 1 species